UACGAAGGGGGCUAGCGUUGCUCGGAAUGACUGGGCGUAAAGGGCGCGUAGGCGGCUCAUACAGUCAGGCGUGAAAUUCCUGGGCUCAACCUGGGGACUGCGCUUGAGACGUGUGGGCUUGAGUGGGGAAGAGGGUCGUGGAAUUCCCGGUGUAGUGGUGAAAUGCGUAGAGAUCGGGAGGAACACCAGUGGCGAAGGCGGCCGGCUGGGGGUGACCUGACGCUGAGGCGCGAAAGCGUGGGGAGCGAACCGG
rnacentral:rRNA from 1 species